rnacentral:rRNA from 1 species
CAGCCGCCACGGGAAUACGGAGGGUGCAAGCGUUAUCCGGAUUUAUUGGGUUUAAAGGGUCCGUAGGCGGAUCUGUAAGUCAGUGGUGAAAUCUCACAGCUUAACUGUGAAACUGCCAUUGAUACUGCAGGUCUUGAGUAAAUUUGAAGUGGCUGGAAUAAGUAGUGUAGCGGUGAAAUGCAUAGAUAUUACUUAGAACACCAAUUGCGAAGGCAGGUCACUAAGAUUUAACUGACGCUGAUGGACGAAAGCGUGGGGAGCGAACAGGAUUAGAUACCCGUGUAGUCCCUGUCUCUUAUCC